rnacentral:rRNA from 1 species
AUUGAACGCUGGCGGCACGCCUAACACAUGCAUGUCGAGCGGUAACAUGAUUUGUAGCAAUACAAAUUGAUGACGAGCGGCGGACGGGUGAGGAACACGUAGGAAUCUGCCCAGAAGCGGGGGACAACCAAGGGAAACUUUGGCUAAUACCGCGUAAUCUCGCAAGAGUAAAGCUGCCCGCAAGGGUGGCGCUUCUGGAGGAGCCUGCGUCCGAUUAGCUAGUUGGUGAGGUAAGAGCUCACCAAGGCGAUGAUCGGUAACUGGUCUGAGAGGACGACCAGUCACACUGGGACUGAGACACGGCCCAGACUCCUACGGGAGGCAGCAGUGGGGAAUAUUGGACGAUGGGGGCAACCCUGAUCCAGCGAUGCCGCGUGGGUGAAGAAGGCCUUCGGGUUGUAAAGCCCUUUAGGUUGGGAAGAAGUGUACGGGGCGAAUAACCCCGUAUGUUGACGGUACCGACAAAAUAAGCACCGGCAAACUCUGUGCCAGCAGCCGCCGUAA